rnacentral:lncRNA from 1 species
UAACAGCACCAGGCAGGCAGACGUAGAAACACUCAGACUGGCAGUAGAGUGCCAUCUUUGCUUUGUUCUUCAGACUUGUAAGCAUCCCCAAGCGGGCAAAUCAGGAAGAAAUAAUGACAGAAACUGGUAGAUGGGGACCGCGUUCUUCCCCUCUCUCGGGAGAUGAUGGAGGAGGAAAGAUGCUGCAUUGUGUGCCCCUCUGGUGCAGCUCACACCGGUGGCAGAGGUUGUGCAGCUGUGGAAUUUGGAGCCCGUGCAACGCUAUGAACUUUCAUUCUCCAAAGGCAGCAAUCAACGAAGAAAAAUCGAGUGGCAGCAAGCAGCUCUUAGCUAACUGCUUUCUCUGUUCAGCACAGGGGCUGGAUUCAGCAGAGGUGAGGCUUGGAAAUGAAAGCUAAGAGAGGGG